AGAAAAAGAGGCAGAACAAAUAAAUGGACGGGAGCUCAAAAGCACAGCAAGGACUUUACUGAUUGGUUUAAAACUAGAGUAUCUAAGUUGGAAUCAGCAUCAGAGUGGUAGUUUUUUUAUUAGAUAGCAGACCUAAGCUUAUCGCCGGUUCAGUAGCAGGAUACACUGGCCAUGUUGAUGGGAGACCACGAGAAGGAAGGAUGAACCAUAAACUGUCCUUGUGAUGAUAGAUUUUGUAGUAGACACCAGUGGAAAGAGGUUUUCUUGGCAGGUUUAUAAACAUAAACUUCUAUCAAUUUUUAACCAUUUCGUAGCAAUUGGAGAUUAAGACAUAAUCAAUGGUAUAGCUGAUGGAAAGA